GCCUAACACAUGCAAGUCGAGCGGAUGACGGGAGCUUGCUCCUUGAUUCAGCGGCGGACGGGUGAGUAAUGCCUAGGAAUCUGCCUGGUAGUGGGGGACAACGUUUCGAAAGGAACGCUAAUACCGCAUACGUCCUACGGGAGAAAGCAGGGGACCUUCGGGCCUUGCGCUAUCAGAUGAGCCUAGGUCGGAUUAGCUAGUUGGUGAGGUAAUGGCUCACCAAGGCGACGAUCCGUAACUGGUCUGAGAGGAUGAUCAGUCACACUGGAACUGAGACACGGUCCAGACUCCUACGGGAGGCAGCAGUGGGGAAUAUUGGACAAUGGGCGAAAGCCUGAUCCAGCCAUGCCGCGUGUGUGAAGAAGGUCUUCGGAUUGUAAAAGCACUUUAAGUUGGGAGGAAGGGCAGUAAGUUAAUACCUUGCUGUUUUGACGUUACCGACAGAAUAAGCACCGGCUAACUCUGUGCCAGCAGCCGCGGUAUACAGAAGGGUGUGCAAAGCGUUAAUCGGAAUUACUGGGGCCGUAAAGCGCGCGUAGG
rnacentral:rRNA from 1 species